UACGGGGGGGGCAAGCGUUGUUCGGAAUUACUGGGCGUAAAGCGCACGUAGGCGGAUCAGCAAGUCAGGGGUGAAAUCCCGGGGCUCAACCCCGGAACUGCCUUUGAUACUGUUGGUCUGGAGGUCGAGAGAGGCGAGUGGAAUUCCUGGUGUAGCGGUGAAAUGCGCAGAUAUCAGGAAGAACACCGAUGGCGAAAGCAGCUCUCUGGGACGGUACUGACGCUGAGGCGCGAAAGCGUGGGGAGCGAACAGG
rnacentral:rRNA from 1 species